CUACAACAAUCAUGCCUUGCAAAAUGCAAUGCGUUAUGGCAACUGUCCCUAUCCAAAUUCACAAUUUGAUUCGCGAAGAAUCGGAGUUCAGACCUUCCGGGUCGCCUACUGUUCACUUCUGGGUGCUGCAGGCAAGGCAUUUCUUCACUGAAGCAGAUUGGGGAAGUAUCGAAAAUACAUUGUAACGUGUACAGGAGCGGCUCCCGUGCGCUCAUUGAAAGCAGCAUUGUCUCGCCAGUCGUCA